UCUUCUUAUUGGCAUUACAUCCCCACACUGGGAUAGAGCCGCCUCGCAGCUUAGUGUUCAUUAAGCACUUCCACAGUUAUUAACUGCGAGGUUUCUAAGCCAGGUUACCAUUUUUGCAUUCGUAUAUCAUGAGGCUAACAACGAUGAUACUUUUAUGCCCAGGGAAGUCGAGACAAUUUCCAAUCCGAAAAUUACCUAGACCGGCACCGGGAAUCGAACCCAGCCACCCUCAGCAUGGUCUUGCUUUGUAGCCGCGCGUCUUACCGCACGGCUAAGGAGGGCCCCUCUUUCGCGCUCAAAGGACCCGAAUAGAAAUAAAUGUGUGAUAGUGACAAACGCAUCGACAAGAGAUCCAACUGCCAUUCAAGUUUUUUUUCGAAGUUAAUGGCGGUGUGCAAUGUGUUUGUGCGAAAGAAAACCUAAAAUUAAACGGAUUAUAAUGCAUAAAUUUCAACCUCAUACCGGGAAACAGUACGCCAUUGCGCGAGCGGAUGUGGUUGAGCAGCGAAAAAACGAAGGAACAUGCAGCACCAUCGAAAUCUGCGAAGAGGCACUGAUGAUAAUAUCAACAUUUCAAUAUGAUAUAAGAUGGUAAAUAAUAAUUAUAUAAGAAGAUGGGAAAUUAAAUAUAAAUAAAACUU